CCCCGGGUUCAAUCAGCCAGCAUGGUAAAAUGUAAUUAAAUUCAGAUUUCAGGACCUGUAUGCUGUGUGGGAAAUUCCUAGAGCUUUGUCAGUGCCCUCGCUGGCCCUGAUGGUUCCUGGUGCUUCUGUACCUGACAGUAAACAACCACAGUGAGUGGAAGGUCACUUCCUAGCAGGCCCAUGAACCUUAGGAUAUUUGGAGGACCUUGAGAAGAGAGGAAUUUGCUCAAAUUUAUAAUUACUGCUGUUCUGACUGCAAUCCUCCAGACUAACUUCCAAUUUUCUUCCUCCCGCCUGACUCGGCAUCACCAAGAACUGAAACUUGACUGCCUGGAUCCCUCUUAGCAUUCCUGGUCACCUUGCGGCUGAUCUUUCUCCUCAAGAAUCUGAAAAGGCUCUGCAAGCUGAAGCCCGGUGACUUUGCAUUCACCUUGAAAGACCCAGCACUGCAGCAGACCAUGCAUGGGCUGGAAUUCUUCCUGGACAAGCCGCUGCUGGACCACUAAGGAAGUACAACAAAAUGAUCGGGUCAUGCGCGCCCUUGUGUGAGAGGUAGCCAAGACUAUGCACAACAUUACCAGGAGCAUGGACGUCUUAGCUUCAAGAAACUCAAGGAGUGGUGCUGCAAGACUUUCUUCAGCUGACCUCUGGAACCCACGGGACUGGUGAAUUCUCCAGGUUCAACCCCUGGCUCUUUACUUUAAUACAACUUUUACAGUAUUAUUUCUCUAUUUUAGGCAUCUCUCUUUUAAGAUGUCUGAUCUCCAGGACCCGAAAACAACUGACCUUAGCCACCACCUCUCUACAGAUGGUUCAACUGGUUUUAUAAAAACAACCAGCAAGAAUCCUAGAGAGACAAUUUCUUAGGCCCUGCUUCAUCCCACUCAGGAGAUGCAUGCUCACCUCUGAGUUGUUCAGUGAUGAAUGAUAUUCAUCUUCAAGAAAAGGGAUGCAACCUCAGCAGUGAUGGUUAAGAAAUCCUCCCCCCACGGUUGUGUUUCGGAAAUGACAAACCAGCUAACCACAAAGGACCACACUGUCCUCAGAGUUUCCGAGAGAAGCCUCAUCUCCAUCUUUCUUCAUGACUCCCAUAAGAUGACUCCCUUGUUUACCUGCCUCUAUAAAAGCCCAGACCCCUUCCUUUUUUUUUGAGAUGUUCCUCAUUAAUGAAUGUUCUUCUUAGUGCAAUAGCCUGAAUAAAAUUAU